AAAUUGAAGAGUUUGAUCAUGGCUCAGAUUGAACGCUGGCGGCAGGCCUAACACAUGCAAGUCGAACGGUAACAGGAAGCAGCUUGCUGCUUUGCUGACGAGUGGCGGACGGGUGAGUAAUGUCUGGGAAACUGCCUGAUGGAGGGGGAUAACUACUGGAAACGGUGGCUAAUACCGCAUAACGUCGCAAGACCAAAGAGGGGGACCUUCGGGCCUCUUGCCAUCAGAUGUGCCCAGAUGGGAUUAGCUUGUUGGUGAGGUAACGGCUCACCAAGGCGACGAUCCCUAGCUGGUCUGAGAGGAUGACUAGCCACACUGGAACUGAGACACGGUCCAGACUCCUACGGGAGGCAGCAGUGGGGAAUAUUGCACAAUGGGCGCAAGCCUGAUGCAGCCAUGCCGCGUGUAUGAAGAAGGCCUUCGGGUUGU
rnacentral:rRNA from 1 species